UGUGUGGCUGUAUUUGGAGGCAGGGCCUCUAAGGAGGUAAUUAAGGUUAAAUGAGGUCAUAAGGGUAGGGCCCUCAUGGACAGAACUGGAUAAGAAAGAAGAGGAACAGACACCAGGAGUGCACAUGCUCAGAGGAAAGGCCAUAUGAGGACACAGUGAGAAAGCAGCUCUCUGCAAGCCAAGGAGAGAGGCUCAGUAAAAACCAACCCUGUGGGCAUCUUGAUCUCUGAUUUCCAGCCUCCAGAAUGGAGCAAGGAAAGAUGUAAGACUACAGAUCAACAUAGUAUUGACUCAGAAACAAGUUUCUGGAAAUCAGAGCUGUUUUACAAUGAAGGCGGCUGCCUUGGGAGGCAAUGAACUGCCCAUCGUCGAUAGGAUUUCAUGCAGAAACUGGUCAGUUGCCAGGAAAUGCUUUCUCCAGUUCAACAGUUGUUAAGCACUUGUUGCAUGCACAUGUCUACAUAUUGAAUGAGGAUUCUUCCACUGGGUGGGAGGCAGGUUUUGGUACUCCCAUGAGACCCAUUCUAAGAUUCUAUAAUUGUAUGAUUUUAUCAUAUCUUGGAUCAAAACUUUUUCACACAGGUGAUAAGAACAGUUUCACCACUUUGUAAUGUUUGAUGUGAGACAGUAUAUAGUGCUUACAAGCUUAGCUUUUGGAGGGAAAGUGAUCUGGGUUCAAAUGCUAGUUCUGCCACAGAGAGCUGUGUGACUUUGGGCAAGUGAAUUAACUAUUCUGAACCUGUUUUUCCCAACUGUAAAGUGAGUCCUAAUAAGUGAAACUACCUCAUAAUGUUGUGAAGAUUGACGAUCUACAUAAAGCACUUAGCCUGUUUAGAACAUGAUACUCAAUAAACGUUAACACUAGGCUUUA